AAUAACCAAAUAUAACACUUAGGCUAAGAGUCAAGUUGGUAAUUUUUCUUACAUCUCCCCCUCCCGGAACCCAGGUAUCGUAUACGCCCCCAAAAUAAAUAGCCUUGAAUACUAGAAGAAAAGCACCUAUACCUAGCAAAAUU
rnacentral:ncRNA from 1 species